GGACUCCUGCAGGGGCUUCUGGGAGUUGUAGUUCGCCCCGCCCUGGGGUCGCGUCGACGCGUUUCCUGUGCGUCCCUAACGGCCGCCAUUGGCUGGGCCCGGCCGAGAGAAUCCUGCUUCCAGGUGUGUGUCCGUUUCGCGUCGCGGUGGCCCGAGCUGACGGGGGCCGACCACGUCUUCCUCGAGAGCCGUGGCCGAAGCGCCCGCAGCGGAGGAAGGCCAGAGCCGAUGUGACUGCAGAUCCGGGAGCUAGAGGCAGCCAGUCUCCCCCGAGUCCCCCGGCUGCCGGCUGCGGGGUUAGCGGAGCCCGACGCGCCCAGUCCCUUCAGCUUCAGGGCGGCAGGACGGCAGAGGCUGUUGUGACCUCGCUCCCCCCUGCCCAGACUCGCAAGAGCGUUCUGACCCGACCGCGCGUGUACUGGGAAGGAGGAGCGUGGGAGACGGGGAGCCCCGGGGCUCCGCGAGGGGAGGAGUCUCCGCAGCUGCCGGGGCCCCGGACCCUCCCUCCGUGGGGGGCGGGGGGCUCGCCCCUGGUGAGGGUGGGAGCGGCGGGGAGAGCGCUUCCUGCACGUUUGUUUCCUCUCCGGCAGCCCUCGCGUCCGGCCUCCACCCGCGGGACGCCCAGAACCAGCCGUGGGGAUGGCCACCAGGGUCCGGACAGCGGCCAUCUGGGUUCCACCUCUCCAGGAACAAGAGAAUUCAUGCAACAGAACCAGAGAGCUGCAAGGUCAGGAAUCCAUCCUGGGUCAAGGGACUCCUGACCACAGACUUCUCCCUGGAGGACCCUGGCAAAGACACAAGAAUCACAGGACAGAGCAGGUUCUAGAGUGGCUGUUUAUUUCUCAGGAGCAGCCAAAAACCACCCAGUCUCGGGGGCCAUUGUCAUUCGUGGAUGUGUUUGUGGACUUUACCUGGGAAGAGUGGCAGCUGCUGGAUCCCACUCAGAAGCACCUGUACAGGACUGUGACGUUGGAGAACUACAGCAACCUGGUGUCCCUGGGGUAUCAAGACAGCAAACCCGAUAUCAUCUUCAAGUUGGAACAAGAAGAACUGUGGAUGAUGCAGGCCCAAAUCCCAAGUCAAGGCCAUCCAGAAAAAGUCUGGGAAAUUGAUGAUCAUACGGAAUGGCAUCAGGAAAAUCAAGGCAAGCUGGAAAGUGUGGCAAAAGGCUAUGAAUGUCCUACAUUUGGAAAACUAUGUCUUCUUACUACAAAUUAUGUUUCUUCAAGACAAAAGCUUCAUAAAUAUAUCACACGUGGAAUGAGUUUUAAAUAUAAUAUAGAUUUCAAUAGUAAUUAUGCUGGAAAGAAUUCUAAAGAGUUUCGUGCAUAUAGGGAAUCAUUCCACCAUUCUAAACAUGAGCAAACUGUUAUUGGAAUAAAAUAUGGUGAAAGUAAUGAAUGUGGAAAAACUGUCAACAAGAAGUCACAACUCAUAUGCCAACAAAUGUAUAUAGGAGGAAAGCCUUUUGAAUGCAGUUUUUGUGGGAAGACCUUCAGCAGUAAGUCAUACCUUGCAGUGCAUCAACGAACUCAUGUAGAAGAGAAACCCUACAAAUGUAAGGGAUGUGGGAAAGACUUCAGCAGCAAGUCCUACCUCACUGUCCAUCAGAGAACUCACACAGGAGAGAAACUUCAUGAAUGCAGUGAAUGUGGGAAAUCCUUCAGUUUCAAUUCACAACUUGUUAUACAUCAGAGAAUCCACACAGGUGAGAAUCCCUAUGAAUGCUGCGAAUGUGGAAAAGUAUUCAGUAGGAAAGACCAGCUCGUUUCACACCAGAGAACUCAUUCAGGACAGAAACCCUAUGGUUGUAAUGAAUGUGGUAAGGCUUUUGGUUUGAAAUCACAGCUCAUUAUACAUCAAAGAAUUCACACAGGAGAGAAACCCUUUGAAUGUAGUGAAUGUCAGAAGGCCUUUAAUACAAAAUCAAAUCUUAUGGUACAUCAGAGAACCCAUACAGGGGAGAAACCCUAUGGUUGUAGUGAAUGUGGAAAAGCCUUUACUUUCAAGUCGCAGCUCAUUGUACAUCAGGAGGUUCACACAGGAGUAAAGCCCUAUGGGUGCAUUCAGUGUGGGAAAGCCUUCAGUUUGAAGUCACAGCUCAUUGUGCAUCAGAGAAGUCACACAGGAAUGAAACCUUACGUAUGCAGCGAAUGUGGCAAAGCCUUCAGGAGCAAGUCAUACCUCAUUAUACAUAUGAGAACUCACACAGGAGAGAAACUCCAUGAAUGCAGUGACUGUGGGAAAGCCUUCAGUUUUAAUUCACAACUCAUUAUACAUCAGAGAAUUCACACAGGCGAGAGUCCAUAUGAAUGCCAUGAAUGUGGGAAAGCCUUCAGUCGGAAAUACCAGCUCAUUUCACACCAGAGAACCCAUGCUGGGGAGAAGCCCUAUGAAUGCAGCGACUGUGGGAAAACUUUUGGUUUGAAGUCACAGCUCAUUAUACAUCAAAGAACUCAUACAGGAGAGAAACCCUUUGAAUGCAGUGACUGUAGCAAAGCCUUUAAUACAAAGUCAAACCUUAUUGUUCAUCAGAGAACUCAUACAGGGGAGAAACCCUAUGGUUGUAGUGAAUGUGGAAAAGCCUUUACUUUCAAGUCGCAGCUCAUUGUACAUCAGGGAGCUCACACUGGGGUAAAACCCUAUGGAUGUAAUCAAUGUGGAAAAGCCUUUAGUUUGAAGUCACAGCUCAUUGUGCAUCAGAGAAGUCACACCGGAGUGAAACCCUAUGGAUGCAGUGAAUGUGGCAAAGCCUUCAGGAGCAAGUCAUACCUCAUUAUACAUAUGAGAACUCACACAGGAGAGAAACCACAUGAAUGCAAUGAAUGCGGGAAAUCCUUCAGUUUCAAUUCACAGCUCAUUGUACAUCAGAGAAUUCACACAGGAGAAAAUCCCUAUGAAUGCAGCGAGUGUGGAAAAGCCUUUAAUAGGAAAGAUCAGCUCAUUUCUCAUCAGAGAACUCAUGCUGGAGAAAAACCUUAUGGAUGCAGUGACUGUGGGAAAGCCUUUAGUAGCAAGUCCUAUCUCAUUAUACACAUGAGAACUCAUUCAGGAGAGAAACCAUAUGAAUGUAACAAAUGUGGGAAGGCCUUCAUUUGGAAGUCACUACUCAUUGUACAUGAGCGAACUCAUGCAGGGGAAAGCCCUUAUAAAUGUAGUCAAUGUGAGAAAUCCUUCAGUGGAAAAUUACGGCUCAUUGUACAUCAGAGAAUGCACACAAGAGAGAAACCCUAUGAAUGCAGUGAAUGUGAGAAAGCUUUCAUUAGGAAAUCUCAGCUCAUUGUACAUCAGAGAACUCAUUCAGGGGAGAAACCCUAUGGAUGCAAUGAAUGUGGAAAAACCUUCUCUCAGAAAUCAAUCCUCAGUGCACAUCAGAGGACUCACACAGGAGAGAAACCCUGUAAGUGCACUGAAUGUGGGAAAGCCUUUUGUUGGAAGUCACAGCUCAUUAUGCAUCAGAGAACUCAUGCAGAUGAAAAACAUCUUGAUGAAUUAAAUGUAAGAAACUUUCUUCCAAAAGUCAAUUCAUAGGAAAUACUGGCAAAUUCUUAUAGAAGAGAAACUCUAUAAAUGAGAUCAUCUCAUUGUACACCAGACAACUAAUACUGAAUAGAAACCUAUAAAUGCACAGCAUGUGCAGGGUCACCCACAGAAAGCUGCCUUUUACACAUACCCCCCCCCUCCCGGCCCCCCAGUAAAUGCACACAGGAAAGUUAUGAAUUUAGUGAACCCUGUGAAAGUUUUCAGCAUCAAGUCAUACCUUUUUUAAAGUUUGUACAGUUUCCUUACAUGAAAGAGCAUUUACCUGAAAAGAGUUGGGACCAUGACAUUUCGGGUUGUGUUGGAGGAAUAUGACUAUUCCAAACUGCAGAUAUUUCUGAAACACCCUCCACUUUCUACUCUUUACUUCGUAGGGGAAUCCCAUCUUCUACCCAAAGAAACUGUUUCUUCUUUGAAGGAGGUAUUUAAUGAUUUUUGAAUGCCUGGUCCUUAUUGUGUUCAGCUCAUUAUAUAAGAUCCAAUCUAAAGAUAUGUGGGGUGAAGAAGGAUUGUUCACAGAAGGGAAAAGAAAGCUUGCAUAAAGAAGGAAUGCCAGGGCGCCUGGGUGGCUCAGUUGGUUAAGCGACUGCCUUCGGCUCAGGUCAUGAUCCUGGAGUCCCGGGAUCGAGUCCCACAUCGAGCUCCCUGCUCAGCAGGGAGUCUGCUUCUCCCUCUGACCCUCCCCCCUCUCAUGUGCUCUCUCUCUCCUCUCAUCCUCUCUCUCAAAUAAAUAAAUAAAAUCUUAAAAAAAAAAAAAAGGAAUGCCAGAUAUUUGUAAAGUAUGUCCCCCAGACCUGGAAAAUAUGAAUAUGUGUUUUGUCAUACAUGUUCUGAGGAAGAUUCACACAUAAUAAAGAAUGAACACCUAAGAGAACGUCUAGAUUUGCGUACUAUUACCCCGUGUCAAUUAGAUUUUAAAGGUUGCUGUAUUGUGUGAGGCAAAUCCACAUGCAACGUUACCCAGUAGAAGCCAGAAAUGUUGACAUAAUGUUGAAGAUAGAAAUCAAAUACUGUGGGAAAGGCUAAUGUUAACGUUAAGGUCUUAACCUUAAAUGAAAAAGAAAAUUUAGGGCUCUUGGCUGGCUCAGUCAGUGGAGUGUGCAACUCUUGAUCUCAGGUUUGUGAGUUGAAGCCCCAUGUUGAGUGUAGAGAUUGCUUAAGAAUAAAAUCUUAAAAAAAAAAAAGAAAGGAAAAAGAAAGUUUACCAGAUAAAUGAAAUUUAACAGAAUGAAUAGAUCUACAACUAGUAAACAAAAAGGAAAAGUAAAAAUUUGAAUCUCUGUCUUGAAAAUCUACCUAGUCCUUCUAACCCUGACCCAGCCCCAGAACAGAAAGAAGUUCCAGAGACUUUUAGUGAUGUUGAUAAUUCUCAGGAAAAGUCAAGGAAUGAUAAUCCAGCAUUUUACAAUUUUUCCCUAAAAUUGACAUGUGGGGGAUAAAUGACUUGCAGUUCAUAUUUAUGAACAUAGUUGAAAAUAAACUAAAUGUUAAUAUAGCAUUCAUAAAUGCUAAUAAUGUGGAGGGUUUUUUUGUUUAAGUCAUGACAAUAUUAAGUGUAGCAGACCACUAGUCGUGAGUCCAGUAUCCCUUCAUUACCAGUGGAAUCACUGUACUUUUCAUAAUGCCAGUGGCCCAGCCUUAAAAGCCACAUUUCUCCACUAUCUUUGUAGCAAAGUAUGAUCUUGCUGCUAAAUUCUGAGUAAUGAGAUAGAGGUUGCCGACACUGUAGGGGAAGGUUGUCAAGAAAACAGGUGAAGAAAACCCCUCAGUGUCCUGUAAUCAUUCCUCACUUUAAUACACAGCACACAUAGUGCUUGGAGAUUGAGCAACCACUACAGAGCCUGGAUGCAUCUGGAAGACAGAAGCCAUCUGCUGCAGGGCUAUCUGGUAUACCAGCCCCACACCACUACCAUCUGAGUAUCUUCUAUGUAAGGGGAAAUGAACUGUCUUGUUUAAGCCACCUUUUCUUUUUUGGGUGGGAAGAGAGUUGGUUCUGUUACAUGCAGUGGAAUGUGACCCUAUAAAAAUACAUUAUGAUGUUGGGAGAUUUAAUAAUAGAAAAUCUUUUCAUAAAAUUAACCACACUACCAGAUAAAAGAAUGGCCGUAUGAUUAUCUCAAUGUGUUUAGAUAAAACAUUUGAUGGAAUUUAAUACCCAUAGAUUAUUUUUAAAUAUUAUUACAUUAGGAAUGGAAAAUAAGUCCUUUACCUUUGCAAGGAGUAUGUUCCAAAAACUGACAAAGGUCACACUUAUUGGUAGAUAUAUAUUCCUUUAUAUUAAGAAAAGUAUACAGGUGCUCAUCACUUUUAUUGAACAGUGUAUGACAAUUCUAGCCAAUGUGUGAAAACAAAGUAAGGAAUUGAGGGUGAGGGCAGGAAAAAAAGUUCCAUUGUUUGGAGAUGUGGUUGUCUCUUUAGGAAAGCUAAAAUAAGUUUCAGGCAAAUAUUCAGAAUUGCAAUUAGAGUAGGACUUGUACUGGAUAUAUAUUUUCAACAUUUGUUGUGUUUUGCUUCUGGUUAAACUGGAUAACCUACAUACAGCAUCUUAGAAAACUGAGAACCCAAGCCCAAAUGAACAUAGCAGUGAAAAGUAGGGAACACUUUAUAUAAGAAAAGAGAGUUGCUGCUCUUAUUCUUGGUGAAAUGCAGGAAGAGGAGAGGGCCGGGAUGGCAUAUGGGGGUGAGACAAGUAGGUGGUUGCCUAUGGACUGGGGUGACACAUUAGAGUCCCAAAGCCCCCACCGUGAAGGAGUGUGCAGCCAACUCUUCGCCAUGAGUCUUCAUGGAACCCUUGGUAGAGAAAGCUUUAAAAAAUCCCAUCGAGGUGCCAGGUCCUCUAAGUGCAAGGUGGAUACUACCUGAAGGCAGGAAGGUGGACAGGGCAAUAGUUGAGGGAAAUCCUUUAGAAGCAAUCUGGACUUUUAGGCUGAGGGAGGGGUAGAGAACUGAGAACACACUAUCCCUUCCUGCCCCGCUCCCCCCCCCCCCCAUAUAAGAGAACCAUCCCCAGGCACUCAAAUCUUUCUAUUACAAAAGAUGGGAGAAAGGUCAGGAGAACUGAGAGACUCCCAAGGCAUUAUAAGCCUUCCCAGAGGGCUAUCCUCAGAGGAGGCAGAGACUAGAAGUAGCACUGAAACAUCUCUGGGAGCUUGGAAAUCAUAAGAAUUGGAAAGCAAAGAGACCUCACCAACCCAGGAAGCCGUCAAGCUCUAAGUGAGGCAAGGAGGUAGUUCACACAGUUGUGGAAGCUGGCAGCUUCGAAAACUAAACAUACGACUAUAACUCUGCUUUUCCUCUCCUAGCUGUAUACUCAAAAGAAGUGAGUGCUUGUGUUCACUCUAAAAUGUCACAGGAAUAUUCAUGGCAUUUUUACCGAUAAUAUAUGAACUGCCAACAGUUAAAAAUUCCAACAGUUGAAUGGAUAAACAACUUGUGAUACAACAAAACCAUAGAAUUCUACACUAAAAUAAAAUACCCACCUUACAGACCAUUAGGAAUGUGCUGUCUGCUCAGUAACUAGUACGGGCACUCAGUCCCUGAUCCCCGCUCCACCUGACCUACCCCCAGAGGCACAGAGGAAGGGGCCUCAUUUGAGCGGAGCACCACUGCCUAGCCACCUCAGAGCCUGAGGCACAAGGGAAACUGAGUAAUACUCAUUUCGUCUUUUCAAACAAUUUUGUUAUUUGUUCAUUGUGGAUUCUUUGGUGUUAAUUUAUAUUUUUAAAAAUAUUGCAUUAAAAUAGUUUAUCUUGA